GGGAGUAUAAUUGUAAAAAUUAUUUUGCAAGAUUGAAGCAGGGUGCAAGUGUAGCAUCAAAAGGUAUGUAUAUGAUAUAGACCUAUUUUUUAUUGAGUAGUUUAGACUCUGAUAUUUGGAUAUUAGAUACCGCCUGUAGAUUACAUAUUUAUAAUUCAUUACAGUGACUACAGAAUAUCAAAGGUCUGAAAAGAGGUGAUCU
rnacentral:lncRNA from 1 species